rnacentral:rRNA from 1 species
AUUGAACGCUGGCGGCAGGCCUAACACAUGCAAGUCGAACGAGUGGCGGACGGGUGAGUAAUGUCUGGGACACUGCCUGAUGGAGGGGGAUAACUACUGGAAACGGUAGCUAAUACCGCAUACCAUCAGAUGUGCCCAGAUUGGAUUAGCCAGUUGGUGGGGUAACGGCUCACCAAGGCGACGCGCCCUAGCUGGACUGAGAGGAUGACCGGCCAGACGGGAACGGUGACACGGUCCAGACUCCGACGGAGGGCAGCAGUGGGGAAUAUUGGACAAGGGGCGCAAGCCUGAUGCAGCCAUGCGGCGUGGAUGAAGAAGGCCUUCGGGUUGUAAAGUACUUUCAGCGGGGAGGCGUUACCCGCAGAAGAAGCACCGGCUAACUCCGUGCCAGCAGCCGCGGUAAUUC